GAUGAACGCUGGCGGCGUGCCUAAUACAUGCAAGUCGAGCGAACAGAUGAGGAGCUUGCUCCUCUGACGUUAGCGGCGGACGGGUGAGUAACACGUGGAUAACCUACCUAUAAGACUGGGAUAACUUCGGGAAACCGGAGCUAAUACCGGAUAAUAUAUUGAACCGCAUGGUUCAAUAGUGAAAGACGGUUUUGCUGUCACUUAUAGAUGGAUCCGCGCCGCAUUAGCUAGUUGGUAAGGUAACGGCUUACCAAGGCAACGAUGCGUAGCCGACCGGAGAGGGUGGUCGGCCACACUGGAACUGAGACGCGGCCCAGCCGCCUACGGGGGGCAGCAGUGGGGAAUCUUCCGAAGGGGGCGAAAGCCUGACGGAGCACCGCCGCGUGAGUGAUGAAGGUCUUCGGAUCGUAAAACUCUUUUAUUGGGGAAAAACAAAUGUGUAAGUAACUAUGCACGUCUUGACGGUACCUAAUAAGAAAGCCACGGCUAACUACGUG
rnacentral:rRNA from 1 species